rnacentral:rRNA from 1 species
UAAGCUAUCGCUUUGCGAUGGGUCUGCGUCUGAUUAGCUAGUUGGUGGGGCAACGGCCUACCAAGGCGACGAUCAGUAGCCGGUCUGAGAGGAUGAACGGCCACAUUGGAACUGAGACACGGUCCAGACUCCUACGGGAGGCAGCAGUGGGGAAUCUUCCGCAAUGGGCGAAAGCCUGACGGAGCAACGCCGCGUGAGUGAAGAAGGUCUUCGGAUCGUAAAGCUCUGUUGUCGGGGACGAAUGUUGAGGCCUAGAACAUAGGUUUCAAAUGACGGUACCUGACGAGGAAGCCACGGCUAACUACGUG